rnacentral:lncRNA from 1 species
CAGGGGACUUUCCUUUAGAACAGCCGCCCCCUAUCCCCCUCUGUCUCUAUAAAAGCAGCUCCCCUCCUUUGUUUUCUGGAUUUGCCUAUGCUUUGCCAUAGCGUGCAGAUCGUGUGUUGCAUUUCUUUUGAGGAUUCCUGAAUAAACUUAUUUUGAGAUAAAAUAAUAGGCAAAUUUGCUUUUAAGUUGACGCAGCUCUGGCAGAUUGAUUUUGAGUUAAAGCUAUUUGAAAAACAGCAAGAUGCCAAAUUGUGCUCUGACCUUCGUUUUUCUUCCUGAAAGUGGGAGAUAAAAUUCACAUGGGAAAGACGCCCUCGGUGUACCAGGAGAAAGAAACACUCUUACCACCAGAGACAUGCGUCAAGCCCGAGAGAAAUCUGAAGACGGAGGAAACCUUCACCUCCCCUCCAGUUUCUGGUCUGAGGAUGGCAGAGCCUUGGCUGAGACGCUGUUGGCUCCGGGGUCUGCAGCUGAGAGAUCUUGGGACCUGAGUAAUCCUGCAGAAGCCCCCCGGUGCAUAGUUGUAUAUUCUUAGUUCUGGAUCCUUCUAGCUGUGGCAUGUUGGACCCUGCGUCAGCAUGGCCUGACCAGCAGUGCCAUGUCCGCGCCCAGGAUUCGAACCAGCAAAACCCUGGGCCUCAGAAGCGAAGCACG